UACGUAGGGUGCGAGCGUUGUCCGGAAUUACUGGGCGUAAAGAGCUCGUAGGUGGUUUGGCGCGUUGUUCGUGAAAUCCCACGGCUUAACUGUGGGCGUGCGGGCGAUACGGGCAGACUGGAGUACUGCAGGGGAGACUGGAAUUCCUGGUGUAGCGGUGGAAUGCGCAGAUAUCAGGAGGAACACCGGUGGCGAAGGCGGGUCUCUGGGCAGUAACUGACGCUGAGGAGCAAAAGCGUGGGGAGCGAACAGG
rnacentral:rRNA from 1 species